rnacentral:rRNA from 1 species
UACGGAGGGUGCAAGCGUUAUCCGGAUUCACUGGGUUUAAAGGGUGCGUAGGUGGGUUGGUAAGUCAGUGGUGAAAUCUCCGAGCUUAACUUGGAAACUGCCAUUGAUACUAUCAGUCUUGAAUAUUGUGGAGGUCAGCGGAAUAUGUCAUGUAGCGGUGAAAUACAUAGAGAUGUCAUAGAACACCGAUUGCGAAGGCAGCUCACAAAACUGUAACUGACGCUGAGGCACGAAAGUGCGGGGAUCAAACAGG